UCAAAAUUUCUAAUAUAAAAUAAAGUCAAUAUGCGUGAUUGCGCUCUCUGCGCUCUACCUCCUCCUCCUCCCGGCGCGGCAGUGGCAGGUCUGGCUGUGUAAGGUGAGGGAGGCGGAGACUUAGUCCCUGCUGGCUGCUCCGCCGCGGCGCCACU